rnacentral:rRNA from 1 species
GAUGAACGCUAGCGACAGGCCUAACACAUGCAAGUCGAGGGGCAGCAUGGUAUCAGCUUGCUGAUACCGAUGGCGACCGGCGCACGGGUGAGUAACGCGUAUGUAAUCUGCCUGUAACAGAGGGAUAACCCGGAGAAAUCCGGCCUAAUACCUCAUAGCACAUAUUAUUCGCAUGAGUUUUAUGUUAAAGAGACUCGGUUACAGAUGAACAUGCGUUCCAUUAGCUGGUUGGCGGGGUAACGGCCCACCAAGGCAACGAUGGAUAGGGGUUCUGAGAGGAAGGUCCCCCACAUUGGAACUGAGACACGGUCCAAACUCCUACGGGAGGCAGCAGUGAGGAAUAUUGGUCAAUGGGCGAGAGCCUGAACCAGCCAAGUAGCGUGAAGGAUGACUGCCCUAUGGGUUGUAAACUUCUUUUAUAAAGGAAUAAAGUCGGGUAUGCAUACCCGUUUGCAUGUACUUUAUGAAUAAGGAUCGGCUAACUCCGUGCCAG